rnacentral:rRNA from 1 species
GAUGAACGCUGGCGGCGUGCCUAAUACAUGCGAGUCGAGCGAACAGAUGAGGAGCUUGCUCCUCUGACGUUAGCGGCGGACGGGUGAGUAACACGUGGAUAACCUACCUAUAAGACUGGGAUAACUUCGGGAAACCGGAGCUAAUACCGGAUAAUAUAUUGAACCGCAUGGUUCAAUAGUGAAAGACGGUUUUGCUGUCACUUAUAGAUGGAUCCGCGCCGCAUUAGCUAGUUGGUAAGGUAACGGCUUACCAAGGCAACGAUGCGUAGCCGACCUGAGAGGGUGAUCGGCCACACUGGAACGGAGACACGGUCCAGACUCCUACGGGAGGCAGCAGUAGGGAAUCUUCCGCAAUGGGCGAAAGCCUGACGGAGCAACGCCGCGUGAGUGAUGAAGGUCUUCGGAUCGUAAAACUCUGUUAUUAGGGAAGAACAAAUGUGUAAGUAACUAUGCACGUCUUGACGGUACCUAAUCAGAAAGCCACGGCUAACUACGUG